rnacentral:rRNA from 1 species
UACGUAGGGGACGAGCGUUGUCCGGAUUCAUUGGGCGUAAAGCGCGCGUAGGCGGCUCGGUAAGUCGGUCGUGAAAUGCCGGGGCUCAACCCCGGGACUGCGUCCGAUACUUCCGGGCUGGAGGUAGGUAGGGGAGAUCGGAAUUCCUGGUGUAGCGGUGAAAUGCGCAGAUAUCAGGAGGAACACCGGUGGCGAAGGCGGAUCUCUGGGCCUUACCUGACGCUGAGGCGCGAAAGCUAGGGGAGCGAACAGG